UAAAUUACCAGCAGCUGCCAACUUAAGAGAAGUACGCCCAAUAGUAAUUCCAUUGCUCUAUCACAAACAGUAACCCAUUCUUAACUGCCGGCGAGGUUUCCAGUUCAGGUCCAGUUGCCGGCAACUUUUCAGUUUAAUAAGCUGUUCAAUCGCUGAGCACACUGCUUUAACUACAGAUUUACCCAAUACAGAGGUAAUUCAAAGCUAUGGCUUCCAAGGUAUCCAUCAUUUCAACAUGGACGGUUGAAGCUGCUGGAAGAAGUCAGCACCAUACAGAUAAUUGUAAGAUUAUUGAGUUGACACCAUGGGACAUUCUUGAGCUUCAAAUUGACUACUUUCAAACUGGACUUCUCUUCCUUAUGCCUACAUUUGAACAAUAAAGAAAUAUAUCAAAAGCAACCAACACCAGUUCCUUAAUUGAUCAUCUUAGAGUUUCACUAUCUCGAGCUUUAGAUUUCUUCCCUCCAUUCUGUGGCCGCCUUGACACAACCAAAGACGAGCAAAAUGGCACCACUUCUUUCUUCAUAAAUUGUAACAAUGAUGGUGCUCAACUCAACCAUGCAACCGCACAUGGUAUUAGAGUCAGUGACAUCGUGGAGUCAGAUUACAAUCCUUACGUGGUACGUGAUUUCUUCCCAUUAAAUGGAGUCCAAAAUCUAGAGGCUACCUCCCAGCCCUGUUUUGCAGUGCAAGUAACAGAGCUAGAGGAUGGCGUAUUCAUUGGCUGCUCAAACAAUCAUGUGGUAGUGGACGGAACUUCUUUUUGGCAUUUUUACAAUUCUUGGACUGAGAUAUCUCGCGGUUUUAAUGUCAUCUCAAAACUUCCUUUUUUGAAACGUCAAUUCCCUUUCAAUAUUAAUCAUUUCUCUGAUCGCAUUUCUAUACCAAAUGAAAGAGUUAAUGCAGGUCAUAGAUUCAUUCCACCACCAAUGCUACGAGAAAGGGUAUUUCAUUUUGCCAAAGAAAGUGUAGCCAAGUUAAAAGCAAAGGCCAAUCUUGAAAUGAGCACCACCAAAAUUUCGUCUCUUCAAGCUGUAUUGGCUCACGUAUGGAGAUCUGUAAUACGUUGUCGUCGUCUUGAUCUUAGUGAAGAAACUACCUUUGAGGUAUCCAUUGACAUGAGGGAAAGAUUGAAUCCUCCUUUACCCGAAGGGUUCUUUGGAAAUGCAAUUUGCCCUGCUACCGUGACCAUCAAGACGGGAGAGCUACUUGAGCACAAAUUCGGAUGGGCUGCUUUACAAAUUAAUGAGACGAUUGCUUCCCAUGACCAUGAAAAGUUGAAGUGCAUAUACGAGAGUUGGAUGAAUGACCCUGAGGUAGUAAAAUUGUUGGACGAACAACAAAAAUUGGGUGACUUGCCAAGCAAUUACUUUAUGCUGAACAACUCUCCCCGAUUCUAUUUUUACAAGUAUGAUUUUGGAUGGGGAAAGCCGAUUACGCAUAGCAGUGGUAUUGGAAACAUGCUAAAGGGGAAAAUAACAGUGUCACCUGGACAAGCAGAAGGGAGUAUGAUUCUUGAGAUUUGCCUUUCUUCAGAGACGUUACAAGCAUUGGAAGAAGAUGUAAUAUUUGGGGAGUUUGUGACCACACCAGUUGUUGGUUUGGAACCUACAAUUCGAGCUCGUAUUUAAAUGCUUCUUAUGGUAUUUAUUACUGUUAGAUUGUAUAUAUGCAUGUAUAAUGAGAAAAAUAUGAUGUUAAAAUAUGUUGCAGGCUUCUU